UUACGGUCAAAUCACGCUGAAAGCACCGGUUCUCGUUCGAUCACCGAAGUUAAGCAUCGUAGAGCCAGGUCAGUACUUAGAUGGGGGACCGCUUGGGAACACCUGGUACUGUAAG
rnacentral:rRNA from 1 species